UACGUAGGGUGCGAGCGUUAAUCGGAAUUACUGGGCGUAAAGCGUGCGCAGGCGGUUCGUUGUGUCCGUCGUGAAAGCCCCGGGCUUAACCUGGGAACUGCGAUGGAAACUAGCGAGCUGGAGUGUGGCAGAGGGGGGUGGAAUUCCGCGUGUAGCAGUGAAAUGCGUAGAGAUGCGGAGGAACACCGAUGGCGAAGGCAGCCCCCUGGGCUAACACUGACGCUCAGGAACGAAAGCUAGGGGAGCAAACAGG
rnacentral:rRNA from 1 species